CCGGCGACGCGCACGGGUGAGUAACACGUAUGCAACCUGCCCUCCGCAGGGGGAUAACCCGGAGAAAUCCGGACUAAUACCGCGUGGUACACCAGUGGGGCAUCCCACGGGUGUUAAAAGGAAGCGAUUCCGGCGGAGGAUGGGCAUGCGGCGCAUUAGCUUGUUGGCGGGGUAACGGCCCACCAAGGCGACGAUGCGUAGGGGUUCUGAGAGGAAGGUCCCCCACACUGGUACUGAGACACGGAUCAGACUCCUACGGGAGGCAGCAG
rnacentral:rRNA from 1 species